CCAGUCUCUGCUGGUCUUCAAUGAACGUCUUCGAUAUCAACAUGGGCCACUGGGCGUUGGCCAUUCGGUGUGUGCAGCUCUUCAAUGAGUGCUUUUCACGCGACAUUGCGUAACUAGAUGGCCAUGAGAUCGAGCUGGUUCAGAAGCAUCGUUUUCUCGGCGUCAUUUUAUAUCACCCGCUUCGAUGGACUCAUCAUUCGACCUCCCUGGAGGACCGUGUUAUAAAUGUUCUCCGCAGAAUCGCAGGCACGAAGUUGGGUGGAACAGCUGCCUCCUAUGAAAAUGGUCAUUGCCUUUAUGUAUCCUUUAUGUUUCCUUCUUGUG